rnacentral:rRNA from 1 species
GACGAACCGUGCGAACGUUGUUCGGAAUCACUGGGCUUAAAGGGCGCGUAGGCGGGCCGCCAAGUCCGGGGUGAAAUCCCCCAGCUCAACUGGGGAAUGGCCUGGGAUACUGGCGGCCUCGAGGGAGGUAGGGGCGGUCGGAACUUCCGGUGGAGCGGUGAAAUGCGUUGAUAUCCUAAGGAACACCGGUGGCGAAGGCGGCUUACUGGGUCUCUACUGACGCUGAGGCACGAAAGCUAGGGUAGCAAACGGG